GACGAACGCUGGCGGCGUGCUUAACACAUGCAAGUCGUACGGUAAGGCCCUUUCGGGGGUACACGAGUGGCGAACGGGUGAGUAACACGUGAGUAACCUGCCCACAACUUUGGGAUAACGCUAGGAAACUGGUGCUAAUACUGGAUAUGUGCCCCUGCUGCAUGGUGGGGGUUGGAAAGCUCCGGCGGUUGUGGAUGGACUCGCGGCCUAUCAGCUUGUUGGUGGGGUAGUGGCCUACCAAGGCGGCGACGGGUAGCCGGCCUGAGAGGGUGACCGGCCACAUUGGGACUGAGAUACGGCCCAGACCCCUACGGAGGCAGCAGUGGGGAAUAUUGCACAAUGGGCGCAAGCCUGAUGCAGCAACGCCGCGUGCGGGAUGACGGCCUUCGGGUUGUAAACCGCUUUCAGCAGGGACGAAGCUUUUUGUGACGGUACCUGCAGAAGAAGCACCGGCUAACUACGUG
rnacentral:rRNA from 1 species